ensembl:lncRNA
CCCCCGCCCCCCAAACACCACUUACAAAUCUGGGCGGAGGGAAGCAAGUAGAAGAGGACCGCGGAGGGAGCUGGCUGUCCAGAUACUGCGAGGCAUGGACACACCUCUCUCGCUCCAGACAGAGUGGACUAACGGUGAUGAAGUCUCUCAAGAAAUGAAGGACAGAAGCAGUCAGUGGCCACUUUAUACCAUACACGCACCUUCUCUGAGCCAGGCCCCAACCACAGAUGACCUGCCUCGUUGCUGCACCCCUCCGCCCCGUCCCCAAGGCUGAGGGUGUGAGGGCCAGACCAGACCUCUGACCUUGGGCUGGAGGUCAAGAUCCUGAAGGUCACAGAAAAAGAGGGUCUCCAAGAUGGACAAGAAUCUUCCAGAGCUGCCAUCUUACUACGCAUCCUCUCUCCUCCUAGGAAGAAGAUACAGUGCUCAGAGGUCACACAGAGCCAUGGACGGACUAAGGCCAAACACCCAGAAGAAAGACGAAGAGACUGCCAGGAUCUCACUCCUGAGAGAAGAACUGGGAGUGGUGGUGGGCAGAACUGGAAGAUCUGGGCCACCUGGAGCCAGGUCCAGAUCAGACCAUUCAGACCCCAAAGGGCCAGUUCUUAUCCACAGAGCUCAUGCGUGUCCCAGAGGGGUUGGCUAGAGUGAAACGUGUGAAAAUUAUGUUGACACAUCUCCCUGCGAUCACAUCACAGAAGAAAAGGCUGAACGACCCCUGGCUCCACCCGGGUCACAUGGUGUUGAAGGUGGCGCUGGAGCAAGAGCCCGGGAGUCUAGGGUGUAUGGAGGCAAGCCUCUCUCUCCAGAACACCCAGGAGAGGGGAGUGCUGUGCCCAACACUGAUGCACUUGGCUGGGAACCCUCGCCAGUUCCAGGCUGAGUCUGAACAUCAAGCCAUGGCCGAACACUGACUCUAGAAUGCAGUCAGUGUGUGUCGUCACGCUAAAUAAGGGAACGAGAAUUCUUCAAGUAAAUAAGAGAAAGGACAGCCUGCAGGAGGGACAUUGAAGGCUUUUCCCUGGCUGAGCUAGCCUAGGCACUCUCCUUGGUCAGGCGCUGGCAGUGUUUUCAGAUGCUGAACAGGCACCUGUCAAGCCGUUUCCUGCUGGAGGAAUGACUAGCUCGUCAAAAGGGGUAUUUAAAGGGGAUUUAAGUCUCCUCUUUCUAGAGAGCCAUGUUGACAAGGGUUUCUUUACCCCCUCCCCAGCUCCCUGACUGCAGCUGGAAGAAUGACCCUCCCCCUCAGCGCCAUGGUCCCCCUCAGGCAGCCAGCGCCCUGCCAGGAGGAAAGCAGGAAGAGCCAAGUCCUCGUGUCCGCCUUGGCACAGGAAAGAUGGGACUAGUGGGAUCAGCCUCAGCAAUGGGACUGGAGGACUUGGGUUUCGAUCUCAGUCCUACCACUUUCUACUGUGUGACCUUGGGCAGCUCAAUCAGCCACUCUGAGCUUUGGUCUCCUGUCUAGUAAGACAGACAACAUAGGAUUGAGAUUGAAGGCCAAGGGCGAGAACCAUACCUCUAGAAUCCAAAUCCUGAUUUGCCACUUAAUAGCUAAUGAGUACAGAGAAGGCAAUGGCGACCCACUCCAGUACUCUUGCCUGGAAAAUCCCAUGGAUGGAGGAGCCUGGUAGGCUGCAGUCCGUGGGGUCACUAAGAGUCAGACACGACUGAACGAUUUCACUUUCACUUUUCA